ensembl:antisense Gm15634 predicted gene 15634
GCGUCUGUUCGUGGAAAAUUUUGCUGCAGGUGUCAGAAGCCUGCGUUGAGCUCCGCUCAGGGUCUCUCUGUGUAAACCUGGCUAUCCUGAAACUCACUAUGUGGACCAGGCUAGUCUGGACCCCCCCAGAGAUCUACUUGCCUCUGCUUUCAGAGUGCUGGAAUCAAAGAACCCAGGGAACUCCCUCAGAAGAGGAGCCAGAAAGAAUGUAAGAGCAGACAGGAUGGAGGACUGCAAGAAAGCAAGGCCCUCUAAAUCAACAUGAGCAGAGCUCAUAUGAACUCACAGAGACUGAGGCAGCAUGCACAGGGCCUGCAUGAGUCUGCACCAGGUCCUCUGCACAUAUAUUAUGGCUUCUACUUUAAUGGGAUUCCUGAUGAGCAAAUGAAUGGGUCUUUGAUUCUUGUGCCUUCUGUUGGGCUCUUUUCCUUCUCUUACCCAACUUUGAUGUGAUAGUUUUUGUCUUAUUAUAUUUGAUUAUGUUGUAUUUUA